AGAGUUAAAUAGUACGUGAAAUUGUUGAAAGGGAAACGAUUGAAGUCAGUCAUGCUAGUGAAAAAUCAGUUUGACGGGUUUUGAGUUCGGGAGUAGAGGCAGGGUCAAACCGUUUCUCUUUUGGACUUGGGAUUUGUCGGAUGUACUUUUUCUUUGGCAGGUCAGCGUCGGUUUCGGAGGUUGUAAAAUACUUGGGGGAAAGUAGCUCUGCUUCGGGAGAGUAUUAUAGACCCUGGGGGAUGCAGCCUGUGGGAUCGAGGAUUGCAGCAAAUGCUUUUGGCUUGUCGCCUGAUCUCUGGACGUCAUCUCGCUUGUAUCAACAUUCUUGCCACCGGGGAGUACUGAUGCCCAUUAGGUUAGAACGAUCAAAAAUUUGCUAAGGAUGCUGACGUAAUGGCUUUAAACGACC
rnacentral:rRNA from 1 species